GCGCGGCGGAGCCUGGCCAGCGCGGGCCCUUUGCCGCCCGGUCUCCCUCAGACCCUCCGCCCCAAAUCGCCGGUACCGAAUCCCACACCGGGCGGCUCCAGCGCUGGGACGCGCCCAGCGGCGGGACUGCGAGCGCGGACACGCGCAGGCGGCGGGAAAACCCCCGGCGGGGCGAGGCAUCGGCUUUCCUGCUGGGCUCCGCGCCGCCCCGGCCUCCAGGGUCCGUCCGUAGCUGGAGGCUCGACCAGGAGCCAAGUCGAGAUCCAUCCUCAUUCAGGAAAGGCUCCAAGCACCUCAGGGUCGCGGAGCACCAGCGUCAGGAAAACUCACGGCCUCCAUUUGCCUUAUAUAGAGAUUUCGCGGCCCUGGGCAGCGCCGGCGUUGGUGGUAUAGUGGUGAGCAUAGCUGCCUUCCAAGCAGUUGACCCGGGUUCGAUUCCCGGCCAACGCAAUUUCUUCUUUUUUUUUCCCCCUCCCCCCCGGGGAAAACCACGCGGGAUUCUUUUUUAAAAAAGCCUGAACCCAAACCAGGAACUGCAAGCGCUGACUUCUCUCCCGGGCUCAUCCGUCGCUGCGAAGCCCCCUGACUCUCUGCCGCUCGCUCCCGCCCGCCCUUUCCCGCUGCCACCUCUGGAGGAUCCUGCGCGCAGGUGCCGACGUCCGGGCGCCCAGGCUCGCAGGUUGGGACGAGGCAGCAAAGACACAGCGUUAUCAGCGGUCGGCAGCGUCACCGAAGUUUAGAAGUUCCCUCCAAAAGUAUGCUUGUCACAUGAGAAUUUCCUGGAUGAUGCACAGGAGUACGGGUCCUGGGGUUAUUUUGACCCUGGGUCUUCACUCUGGAAGCGAGUUUCCACCUGAUCUACCCCUGAAAGAGGCCUGCCACUGGGUGUAACUUUCUCCCGUCCGCGAAAUUUCCUGCUGCCCACUGGAAGAAAAUCCCAGGAUCCAGGCUCUGCCUGGAGCUCUGUAUUCCAAAUUGCCACUCUGCGGCUUGCAGAGUGCGUCUCCUGCACCCCCGACUUAGGCGCUCCUGCUUCCUUCCUCCCCGGCCUGUGGAUAGUCAAGUCCACCCCAGCCCGCGCUCUCAAGUUCGCGCUCUCGCCGCCGCCCUACUAGCACCAACGCGUGCAAGCAGAAGCGAGCACUGGUCUGACAAUCAGAACACCUGCUCUUAGGUCCCUAAGAAGCUGUCUGCUUUUGCGCAAGCCAUUUCUCUCUGGGCCUCGGUUUCUUCAUCUGCAACGUGGAAGAGCCAAGCUACAGUUUUUGAGACCCUUUGCGGCGCUACAGUCCUUUGAAGUUGUGCCCUGCAGAGCAUCUGGCGCACCAUAUAUGCUCAUUUUUAGAAAACAUAACAUUUCCCCUGAAUAUAAGAGUAGUAUACAGUCCUUCUAGAAAAUAUGAGAAAGAAGCAAACCACAGGGGAAUACGAGGCACCCAUAUUUCCAUCACCCAGGAAAUCCCUAUUAACGUUUUGCUGUGUGUUUAUCUCUUGGCAUUUCUUUUUUAAUGCAAAGUUGGAAUCACGGUGUGCAUAUCUGUAUUUUUUUUAACCUACUUGAGUGUUUCCUUUAAAAUGUGAAUAUUUCUAUACUCAUUAAAUGUUAGU